CCUGGCUUGGUGCUGAAGCUGCUCUAGGGUCGCAGGAGGAGAGUGCAGAAAGCUGACAACUUUUGAAUCGGGAGGGAUCUGAAAAUUACUUUAUUAAAUUUUCUGCCAGGAAAAAAGGUAAAAGUCUUCCCUUAAAAAUUUGGAUUCCAAGGGACUUGCUCAGCUCUCACAGAAAGAGCAGGUCUGGGACUGAUAAGAGAGACUGUUUAUCUCCCUUUGCAUCCAUUUUCCGCUGGAGCCCAAAUAUAAAAUGGAAACCUUUCCUUCCCUUAUGUAACGCUCUGCCAGCGUCGGCAUCCUGUGAGUGUUGGCUGGAGGGACCUCUGGAGGUCUCCAGGUGCAGGACUGCUGCCAGCACAAGAUCAAGUUGGCUGGAGCUGUGUCUAGCCACAAAGCCAAAGUCUGCUUCUCGCGUGCCUGCACAGCAUGGUGCAUCGGGACCCUUUUUUCGGAUGAAGUUCAUGCCUCGUUACAGCCUUUGUUACAGUUUUCGAAACAACCUUCAACAGACAUAUAAAUACACCUGUCAUCGCAAACAAAUACACUUAGAACGAUUAACUGAUACUUCCCAGCAGUAAUCCCUGCACCUUUGUAAUAGCAGUUAAAAAAAAUGAGUUGGGAUCACGGAGAGGAAACAACAGCAUGCAAAACAUUAGCCGUGUGCCUCACUCACUAUUUUUUCAACUUUAUGCUAUUGGAUUACUUUCUUAAGCACUCUGGGGACAGAGACAGCAAAGAACAGCUUUCGUUGGCAAAGGCAGGCAGUUUCUCACACACGGCUCUAUUUUCCAUGGCUCAUCCAGCAAAUUGUACGCUAAGCCUAAAAAAACAGUAAGAAACAAGUCCGUCCAAGAGGGGCCGCGUACAGUGGAUUUCACCCCCCCGUCUGCUGGCAGUCUAGCACUGCUAUCGGCACUUAUUGGGAGGGGGUGGGAAGUGCCCCACGCCAGGCAGACACAAGCAGCAAGAUCCUUUCUGCUGCCCAGGGCAUGAGGAGCUGCCUUACCAGCAAGGCCACCCAAUCCUAUUUGCAGCCAGGAGGGACAGUUGGCUUUACUUGUCUUCUAGCAUUAACCAGAGCUUCAAGACUUUUGGCCUUGGUUAGAGUCCAAGCAGCACGGAUGGACUGCCACUGCCAGCCUUUGUGUGUUUAAAAGUUCAGUUGUCUCUCAUGUCCUCCCUCACCACUGGAGGGCUCUGCCUGCACAGCAGCAUUUUUCCAUGUCUUAGUCCAUAAUUAAAGCAGCCAAGAUAGGCUAUUAAUUUCCCUACUAAUGAAACAGCACUUUAUGAAGUGUCAUUCUUUCACACAUGCCCACACUCUUGAAGUGCAGAGCUCACACUGACUUAAGGCUUGCUAAAAGCAAGAAAGAUCACUGGUUUGCAUCUGCAAACCCGCACAGGCAAUGAAGUAGGUGGCCAAGAAGCAGUUCUGCAUCAUGCCUGGCCUGAUCUGCAGCCCCACAUCUGUGACACUGCAAGGAAUCUUCUGAAAUCCUGAUGAAUGAAGGACAGCGGGUGGGCUGCAGCUCCGUGGGAAACCACCUGGGAAACGCGAGUUCUGCAUCGAAACUGAAA
rnacentral:lncRNA from 1 species